GAAGAAGAAGGCUAUGGCGGAACUCCCACAGAGGCCAGCAGGUGGAUGAGGAGAGACCCGAGGCGGCCGCCGGUCUGAGUGUCAGGUGAACUGAACUUCAGGACAGUUAGCAUGCAGUCUGGAGCAGCCAGGGAUCGACCCAAAAACCAUCUGAUUAGUAGAUGACCUGCUCCACCUCCUGAGCCACAGCCGCCCCUUUUAGAGGUAAAGAAUCAAUUAGAAAGAGCUGGCGUCAUGUUGUGGAAGCUGCCAUCUUGCCCCCACCAUCAUACGCUGGCUGAGAUGGGCAUCGCUGCUCCGCCUUUUCAUGUUUUAUGCAUUACGCUGACGGACGGAUGGAUGGACAAUGAAUGCUUUCUCGUCCUUCUUGUCAUGCACCAUGGAAGUGUCUGAGGGGCUUUUCCACUUGGAAUCGGGAUACUGUGUCCACACUUCAGAGGUGGAGUUUCCAGCAUCUCACCUGGGCCUCAUCUGCAAACAAUCAGCAGGAGGGCUUCUUAAACCAGCGCUGCCUGCUACUCCUCGCCAGUUUGUUCUGCCAUCUCCAGUGCUUCUCCAGUGGGACUGAAGCCAUCCAUCCCACCAGCCAGCGGCCCUUCGGGUGAGAGGAAGGGCCCCGUCGUCAUGGCGCCUGUCAACGUGGAGCCAGCCGGGCGAGUUUGUCCUAGAAAGCUUAUUUGCCAUCUUCACCUUGCUCUCUGAACGCAAGAGCUGUAUCAUCAUGGCUGAACCACUGGAGAAGCCGCUAAACAAAUCUCUGCAGAGGAGAAGAGCCACAGUUUGACCAGCUGAUCAGCUCUAUGAGUUCUCUUGCUGGGUACUGCCUGCCAUCCAUCCUGAAGACUCUGUUCGACUGGUACAAGAGGCAAAAUGGCCUGGAGGACGAGUCCCAUGAACAUCGACCCGGGGCCAAGUCAAAAAAGAGUCUCUGUUCUCCUCCUGACCUACCUGACUCUGGAGUAGUUCCUCGUCAUCGUUUUCCCUUUUAGCAAUUUGCGCCCAGGCAAACUUCAGACAGGGGUAAGUUGCACUAGUCAUAAUAAUGUGCCUGAUGAAGGUCAUCCAACUGUUGUCUUUGUCCACAAACUAAUUAUCGCUCUUAUUUUGAAGAAAGACUGGGUUUGUGCUGCUGGAAUAUCAUCUUUAGGUUGGUGUUUAAGUGGAUCAGAAAGUGUGG